CCAAACAAGUCCAUCAACUCAAAUCUAACAUACAAAAAUUCUCAUCCGAAUCAAAAAAAAAACUUGAUGAUGCUCGGAUUUGGUGAAACGAACAAAUUUUGAGUUGGAUAUAAAAGGACAUAUGAUGAGAAAGUUAAAAAUUCAACACUAAACUCUCAACAAACUUGAAGGAUAAAAUAUGCCAUAGAUUGUCACGCGCGGGGGUUAUUUUUAAGUUUUAAAACCGAUGCGGAAGUGUAUUUAUUUAUUUAUUUAUUUAUUUAUUUUUGAAAAACCCCAGGGAAUGCCAGAUCCGCCACAAAUAUAGAGAGUCCACUGUUCACACGGACAGAGUCUCUCAUGUAUUUGCAUGGCGUCGCACAAGUAUAAGAUACAACCACAACGAAUAUUCUUACACAUACAAUCACCACAUCAUAUAUAACAUUCACAUUCAUUCCAUCACAGUUUAUCAUAAAUCUACAUCUAUUAGUUUAAAACGUUUUCCACUCGAAAACUUAUUUUGGAAUACUAAGAAUCAUGAAAAAUUGGAAAACUCUUUUUUAAAAUCAUUUCCCACACGGAAACCUUUUCCUUUAAAAACACGUUACCACGACGGAUAGAAAACCAUUUUCUUAAUCUCAUAUGAAAACUCACUACAACAAAAUUGCUUUUUAGUUGCAAUUUAAUAGCGGCG
rnacentral:lncRNA from 1 species